UACGUAGGGUGCAAGCGUUAAUCGGAAUUACUGGGCGUAAAGCGUGCGCAGGCGGUUAUGUAAGACAGGUGUGAAAUCCCCGGGCUUAACCUGGGAACUGCAUUUGUGACUGCAUAGCUAGAGUACGGUAGAGGGGGAUGGAAUUCCGCGUGUAGCAGUGAAAUACGUAGAUAUGCGGAGGAACACCGAUGGCGAAGGCAAUCCCCUGGACCUGUACUGACGCUCAUGCACGAAAGCGUGGGGAGCAAACAGG
rnacentral:rRNA from 1 species